GGGCCCGCACAAGCGGUGGAGCAUGUGGCUUAAUUCGAUGCAACGCGAAAAAACCUUACCUACUCUUGACAUACUUGGAAGCUCUUGUAAUGAGAGUGUGCCUUUUGGAACCAAGAUACAGGUGCUGCAUGGCUGUCGUCAGCUCGUGUCGUGAGAUGUUCCGUUAAGUCGGAUAACGAGCGCAACCCUUACCCUUAUUUGCCAGCGAUUCGGUCGGGAACUAUAAGGGGACUGCCGGUGAUAAACCGGAGGAAGGUGAGGACGACGUCAAGUCAUCAUGGCCCUUACGAGUAGGGCUACACACGUGCUACAAUGCUACGGCAAAGGGGCAGCAAAGUUCGCGAGGAC
rnacentral:rRNA from 1 species